UUUGAGCAGAAGGUACAGAGCUUUCCCAUAUACCCUGUGACCCUCACAUACAUCCCUUCUCCAUUAUCAACAUUCCUCCUCAUCCCGCCCCAGGAUGGUACCGUCUUUACAACCAAUGAACCUACACUGCCAUAUCAUUAUCACCUCAAGUCAUAACUUUACAUUAGGGUUCACUCUUAGUGUCUUAUAUUCUAUGGAUUUGAAUAAAUGUAUAAUGUCAGGUACUCACCUUUAAAGUAUCAAACAGGGUGUUUUUGCUGCCUUCAAAAUUCUUCAUCUCGCCAUCUCCUCUAACCCCUGGCCACCAAUGAUAUUUUUACUGUAGCCAUAGUUUUACCUUUUCCAGAACAUCGUAUAGUUGGAAUCAUGCAGUUUGUGGCCUUUUCAGAUUGGUUUAUUUUGCCUAAGUAAUUUGCAUUUAAGUUUCCUCCAUGUCUAGUCAUUGCUUCAUACCUCAUAGUGUAUACUUUUUAAGUUUUAUUUUUUAUUUUAUACUGGGGCAUAGUUGAUUUACUAAUGUUGUGUUAGCCUCAGAUGUACAGCAAAGUGAUUCACUUAUAUAUAUACAGAUAUCUUUCUUUUUUUUUUUUUUAGAUCCUUUUCCCACAUAGGUUAUUACAGAAUACUCAGUAGAGUUCUCUGUAGGUCCUAGUCAUAUAGGAUAAUUUUAAGUCAAAUAUUGUUGUCUCAGAAAGGGCUUGUAUACACCUAUACUUGUAUAAAUCAAAAAACAUAAGUCAGUCAGGUAAGUGAAAGCAAAAUUUCCCCAAUGAUUGAACAUUAACUUUUUUUUUUUUUCUCACUCAAUCUUCCAGUUGAGGAAUUUCCUUAUAUGAAAUUGGAUUUGGUCCCAAAAGUAAGAAAUGCACCGAUGGCUGCAGUCCAAACAUUCUACACAUUCCAAGUAGAAAGAAGCAAGAAGGAGGUGAUUUCUACUCGUCUAUGUCUCACUGUCCAAACAAAGUCACAUGGCUGUGUUAAUUACCAGGGAAUCUGAGAAGGCAAGGACUUCAGUAAAGGAAAGGCUAGUCGUGUCCGACUCUUUGCAACCCCAUGGACGGCAGCCCACCAGGCUCCCCCGUUCC